AUAUUUUGAUAAUAUUGCAUUACCUUUUUGUCAUCUAGUUCAUGUUUUGAAAAAAUAUCUAGUUUUGUUGUGCGAGUGUAACGAUAAACAUGAUAUUCGUUUCCUUUCCCUUCCAGUAGUGUCCCCAAAUUGAUGACAGUCGAAAAGUUUUUACGACACGUAUAAAUAUUGCCAUUCAAAUCAUGUUCGUAGAUGCAUCCUCGCCAUGCUACAAGAAAAGAAAGACAGGGAAGCUAGUUGAAGAAAUUAUACCCCAAACAUAUUGUUGGAAAGAAACUGAGCUUGACUUACUUGGACUUUUUUACGAAAAAGAACAUGUCAGUGACUUGGAGUUUCUUCUGAAUAAAACAUUAUGUUAUGAUUCAAAAAUUACAACGCAUUCCUCUAAAAUUCAACCUCUCGCUAGAGUAUUGGAUUAUUUUUUAGAUUUUGACGCAAGCGAAUACCAAGAACCUGUUGAUCAAAGUACAGACCGGGUAACACGGUUUAAGGAGGAUGUAAACAAUAUAAAAUUGUCACUUGCGAAAGCAAAAGAGGCUACUUUUGAGACGGUUAGACAUCUCUUUGCAGAUGAUAUUUCAAGAGAGGAAAACUUUCUAAGAGGUAUGUUUGAAGCUAUUAAAUGGAAUGGAAUCUAUGGAUUUGGUGAAAAAUUAAUCUAUUUUAUGCUUGAAAACCGGAAAGGAACUUCAAAUGAUGUGGUAUGCAGACAGCUAUUUAGGGACUUUUUUGUUAUGUGUGGAUUGAACUUAAUGGAUGGAGAAUCAAAAAAGAAAAGUAUGAAGAUUGGAAAGUCUGUUAUUACUUCUCAACCAUAUUUAAGGUGUUGCAUAGAUGAGAUAACUGAACUAAACGUGAAAACAGUGUUGUUGGUAGGAGGGGUAUGUAGUAAAUUAAUACAAUAUUACCGAUGGUAACAUGAAAACAGUGAUGUUAGUAGGAGGGGUAUGUAGUAAAUUAAUACAAUAUUACCGAUGGUAACAUGAAAACAGUGAUGUUAGUAGGAGUGGUAUGUAGUAAAUUAAUACAAUAUUACUGAUGGUAACAUGAAAACAGUGAUGUUAGUAGGAGGGGUAUGUAGUAAAUUAAUACAAUAUUACCGAUGGUAACAUGAAAACAGUGUUGUUGGUAGGAGGGGUAUGUAGUAAAUUAAUACAAUAUUACCGAUGGUAACAUGAAAACAGUGUUGUUGGUAGGAGGGGUAAAACAAAGGAAAGUUGCAUUACCAAGUCCUCAUGACUUUAAAAUAGAACAUCUGUAUCCAUAUGAUAUAAUUGGACAACAUGGAGGAAAUCUGUUGCUUGAAAUACAAGAUUCAUGUUUUGAGAAAACUGGAGAUGAAGAAGAUGAAAGCAUUUUAGUUUUUGGAGCAAUGUGUGUAGGGACACAGGUUAUUUUUACUGCCCUUGAAAUGAGCAAAAGUCAUAUAAAUGCUAUAAAAGAACUGGAAGGAGAAGUACUUGACGAUGCUCUUGGUGAUGAUAAAGUUAUUGGAAGGUCUUCUAUAUCCUACACUAGACCAUAUAACAUAUUGAAAGCAGCAGACAGAUCUGAGAUGUACGAGUCUUUACUAAGGAUAGCAUGUUAUCAACAUCAAAUCACAUGAUUGUCUGUCCAUGUCCUCAGAUUUUGGACAUGUAAAAUUUAUGAUGAGGUUACAUGAUUGUCUGUACAUUGCCUGAGAUUUUGGACAUGUUAAAGUCAUGAAGAGUAACAGUUAAAGGCAAUUGUAAGGAUGGACAUCAGCUUUACUGAACUUUUAAUGAAGUCUGAUUGAGAGGGAAGACAAAUGUUGGUCAUUUUUACAGAAGGAUCACUAUAAAUGCCUAAGUUCUGAAUAUCAUGUUUUUGUCCUGGAGAAAAGGAUUUUUUUUUUAAUUUUCAGAACAAAUAAACAUUUCUUAUGAACAUUUCAGAGCAUAGAAAUUUAUUUGAAAGUAUAAAAAAAUUAUGUGUUUAUUGUCGAGCCUGCGACUUCUGUUGCAGAAAGCUAGACAUAGGGAUAGUGAUCUGGCGGCGGUGGCGUUAACUAACUUCUUAAAAGCUUAAUAUUUCAAUAGAACACCUGGAUGCUUCAUACUUUGUAUAUAGAUGCCUUAUGAUAGGAAGUUUCUGUCUGUCAAAAGUUAAGAUUUUUGUAAUGUUAAUUUCUCUCUUAUUAUGAGUAAUAGGAUAACUAUAUUUGGUAUGUGCGCACCUUACAAGGUCCUAAUGCCUGUCAGACAGUUUUCAGUUGACCUCACCUCAUCGCAUGGAUCAGUGAACAAGGUUAAGUUUUCAUGGUCAAGUCCAUAUUUCAGAUACUAUAACCAAUACGUCUACUAUAUUUGGUGUAUGUAAUGAUUGUUAGGUGUACAUGUCAAACUGGCAGGUGUCAUCUGACCUUGACCUCAUUUUCAUGGUUCAGUGGUAAAAAAUUUUGUGUUUUGGUCUGUUUUUCUAAUGCUGUAUGCAAUAGGUCAACUAUAUUUGGUGUAUGGAAGUAUUUUACGAUGUACAUGUCAAUCUGGCAGGUUUUAUUUGACCUUGACCUCAUUUUCAUGGUUCAUUGCUCAAUGUUAAGUUUUUGUGUUUUUGUCUGUUUUUUUUUCAACUUUAAGCAAUAGGUCAACUAUAUUUGGUGUAUGGAAUGAUUGUAAGGUGUAUAUGUCUGUCUGGCAGGUAUCAUCUGACCUUGAACUCAUUUUCAUGGUUCAUUGGUCAAUGUUCAGUUUUCCUGGUUAACUUUGUUUCUUAGAUACUAUAAGCAAUAGGUCAAAUAUAUUUGAUGCAUGGAAUGAUUUUAAGGUGUACAUGUCUAUCUGGCAGGGUUCAUUUGACCUUGAACUCAUUUCUGGUUCAUUGGUCAAUAUAAAAUUUCCAUGGUUUGGUCUGUUUCUUUUAUACUAUAAGCAAUAGGUCAUCUAUAUUAGGUGUAUGGAAUAAUUGUAUUAAAGGUGUAUAUGUAUUUCCUUCUUGGUUUAUCUGACCUUGACCUCAUUUUCUUGGAUCAUAAAUGUUAAUGUGGUACUUGUAGUAAAACUUUAUAUUUAGGACUAUCAACAUAAAAUCAAUGGCCAGUAUAGUGCACUCUUGUUUUAAAAUAUAUAUAUAGGCAAUUUUAUUUCUGGUUUUUGGUCUCGCCUGCCAUGAAAGUCACAUAACGUGAGCCAUUGGGAUUAAUAAUUGGCAGCAGUGGUGUAAACUUUUUUUUGAAAGCUUUAUAUUUCAGGUGGUAGAAGACCUGGAUGCUUAAUACCUUGUAUGCAGAUGCUUUAUAUUACGAAGUUUCCAUCUGUUGUAUGUCCAUUGUCCUUUACCUCAUUUUGAUGGUUCAGCAACUGCUUGGAAAAAAUGUACAGUUUUUUUGUCAUGUGAAAUACUCACUUAUUAUGAACAAUAGGUUAAUAAUUUUUAGUAUACAUUUGAAUCCUUGCAAUCUACAUGUCUGUCAGACAAGGUUCACCUGACCUCAACCACAUUUCAUGGAUCAGUGAUCAAGGUUAAGUUUUGUGGUCAAGUAUAUAUCUCAAAUACUAUAAGUAAUAGAUAUAUAUUUGGUAUGUGGAAUGAUUGUAAAGUGUACAUGUCUGUCUGGCAGGAUUCAUUUGACCUGGACCUCAUUUUCAUUGUUCAUUAGUCAAUGUUUGAUUUUCAUGGUUAUGUUUGUCUCUCAUAUACUACAAGCAAUAGGUCAACAAUGUUAAGUGUAUGGUUUACAUGUUGUCUCACAGGGUUCAACUGACCUUCACCUCAUUUGUAUGGUUCAUUGGUCAGUGUUCAAUUUUCGUGAAUAGGUCUGUUUGUAAGAUACUUUAAACUAUAGACUAACUUUAUUUGGUGUAUGGUAUGGUUGUAAGGUGUACAUGUCUGUCUGGCAAGGUUUAUCUGACCUUGACCUCAUUUACAUGGGUCAUUGAUAAUGUUAAGUUUAUGUGAUACUUGUAGUAAAACCUUCAUAUAACAAAAAUUCAAUCACUACAAGUAAAGCAGGCAAGACAUUUCAGUGUGUAUACUCUUGUUUUUUCUUUUUUGCUCUGUUUUAGACCGUUUUGAUACUGUUCAUAUAUUCAAAAUAAUUGGUUUUUUUUUUAUUAAACCCGUAUCAUAUGUAUUUUCCUACAUGUAUUUGCAAUAAACUCAAUCAGUUGAACGGUUAACGCCUCAAUUUGACAAAUAAAGGUCCAUCUGUCAACACAAAUAGUAUGUAAAAUGUUCACGCCUAUAAUCAGCGCCACCUAUAUUUUUUUGUCAUUGUUUAUCAGAAAGAUGUCCCAUUCUUUAGGAAAUUCAAACAUUAAAUUAACUGAAACAUAGAAUAGUAAGUAUAGAAAACAUAUUUAAACAAUUAUUUCCACAUGACUUAUCAUGCAUGAUAUCCUGACAAUGUGAACAAUGUCUACAAGAUUGAAAAUGAAUUUGUUUCCUGUGUCAAAAUGUUUACAUUUUUUCAUCAAAACAAAAGUUGACACCCUUGUGUUUCUGGUCAUAGAUAAUUUUUGCGUUGUUUUUUGAAGAUAAUCCAAUGACAUUUACUGUAGUAUAAGUGGCUACACCUUACCAGCCAUUGUUACAUAACCCUGUUCUUUUUUUAAGAGGACUGCUUACGGAUUGUUGUAUAAGAAAAAUGACCAUUAUCUUCAUUAUAAUUCAAUAAAUACAAUACUUGUAACAACAUAUGCAAACUUUAUAAAAUCUACAAAGCAUAAAGAUGUGUUUUAAAUUAAACAUGUUGAGUUGAA